rnacentral:misc_RNA from 1 species
CCGACGGGAGCGGCGCCGCUCAGACGACCGCCAUGCUCGCCGCCGUCGACGCCUACUACGAGGACGUGAGCAGGCUGCGGGACGUCAUGACCGACCUGUGUCAGCUUCCGCUGCUUAUUGGACACGCCACCUCCAUGGCCACAAUUCUGCUCACCUCCUACACCAUACUUAACAAAGCGUUCAAGGCUGACCAUCAAGGCAGGGCCAUGCAGCUGGCGUCCAUGGGCAGUUACCUGUGUCUCUUCGUCUGCCGGAUCACGUGCUAUUCGUUGGACGGCUCCAGCAUCAUGGAGAAGAACGCGGCGCUGGCAUCGUCACUCACGAAGCUGCGCUGGCCCGACAUGACCAAGGCGGACAGACGACGGCGCGAGGCGCUGCUGCAGAAGACGAAGCUUCCCUUCGGCAUCGAUGUCAUGGGUUUUUUCUCGGUCCAGAAAACAAACAUUCUUUCGAUUCUGAGCUUCGCUCUCACCUACUUUGUUAUUCUUGUCCAGAUGGGCGGCUCUGCGCUGCAGUGAUGGCCAUUCGGAGCAUGUGGUGGUGGGGGUGCCCAGCGCGUGAUGCCGAGGACGGCUUUGCUCCACCAAGCAGCGUUUGACCCCAUGCAUGUCGUUAAUUAGUAGCUCGGCGCACAUACACUUACGCUUCAGAAGACAUGCACGCAUCCAUCGAGACGCUUCAACUUUUGGAGUAAAUCUGGAUGGUACGCAAAUGCGUGAGCCAUUUCACCUAUACCAGGCGCGGAAGAUUACAAAAGUUUUCAGAGGCGUGUUUUACGCGUAAACCCACGAAACAAAAUGGCCGUGCGAUCUGUAACGCAGAUGCCGCAUCCUUAUCCAUGUUCUCGCCUUCACUUCGCCGUGCCGACGAAUUGUCAAGUCUGGAAAUAAUUGUCUUACAUCACAGAGAGCUCCUGUGGGCGUCCCGAUGUCUGGAGCAUACUUCCGGCCAUCUCCGCGCGAUAAAAGCGAGCACGGCUGGCUCGGAUCGCGGAAAUCAUGCGGCGCUGGCGGUGCGAGGUCAAGUGGUCGCGGCUCCCGCCUCCGCACGACUCGUCGAUGACAGCGCACCGCUCGUCCGUCGCGCAGCAAACGGUCUGCCGUUCGUCCAUCGCAGACAAGAUUCGCAGUCAACGAGCCUACGUCCCAGAAGAUCUGCCGCUUUUAGUCGAGAUGUUCGAUGGGCGUUCCGCAGACAACUGGCAAGAAGUCGAAACGGGGCUUGAGGCUGAAUGAUGUGCCGAUGCGUUCCACUGCGCCAGACUACUGUCCCGUCAGCACCGGUGCUGGUGCUGGCCGGCUGCGCUGGCGGCCUUGCCCACGGAGCUGGUAGCGCAGCAAGGGGUGUCCAGACGCAAAGUCGACGCACAGUUUGCUGAAUGUCUUUUGUCGACUGGUGUGUGACAACUUCCAUUUUAGCGACAUGAAAAAAUGUUUAGUCAAAAAUUGAAAUUGAACACAGCGAAGUGCAAUUCCAUGUCAUUCGCCCCCCGCACGCUAUCUGUGCACUACUCAUACGCACUAGACGGUCACCGCUUGGAUAGCUGACAGCAGAUUCGCGAUCUUGGUGUCUUCCUGGACACCA